GACGAACGCUGGCGGCGUGCCUAAUACAUGCAAGUCGAACGCAGUGGGGACUGGUGAGUAACACGUGGGUAACCUCCCAUCAGAGGGGAUAACACUUGGCAACAGGUGCUAAACCGAUACUGAUGGAUGGACCCGCGGUGCAUUAGCUAGUUGGUGAGGGAACGGCUCACCAAGGCCACGAUGCAUAGCGGAGCUGAGAGGGUGAACGGCCACACUGGGACUGAGACACGGCCCAGACUCCUACGGGAGGCAGCAGUAGGGAAUAUUCGACAAUGGACGAAAGUCUGACCGGGCAACGCCGCGUGAGUGAAGAAGGUUUUCGGAUCGUAAAACGCUGGUGUUAGAGAAGCGGUAUCUAACCAGAAAGCCACGGCUAACUACGUGCCAGCAGACGCGGUAAUUC
rnacentral:rRNA from 1 species